GACAAGAUGGUGGAGUGGUUAACACGUAGCACUGCUAUCAGCCUAGCGCCUAGUAAUGCUAUGCCUUCGGGCGCCUGCGUUCGAAUCGCAGUCUUGUCG